rnacentral:rRNA from 1 species
CAAUAGCGUAUAUUAAAGUUGUUGCGGUUAAAAAGCUCGUAGUUGGAUUUCGGCGGACAGGGGGCGGUUCGAUAUUUGUCGCUACUGCCCCAUUUGUCCGUGUUUUUGGCGGAGGUUUCAGGGUGCUCUUCACCGAGUGUCCUGGGAUUCCGUCAGGUUUACUUUGAAAAAAUUAGAGUGCUCAAAGCAGGCUUUACACGCUUGAAUAUUCGUGCAUGGAAUAAUGGAAUAGGACGUCGUUUCUAUUUUGUUGGUUUUCGGAAAUCGACGUAAUGAUUAACAGGGACAGUCGGGGGCAUUAGUAUUCAGACGACAGAGGUGAAAUUCUUGGACCGUCUGAAGACUAACUACUGCGAAAGCAUUUGCCAAGAAUGUUUUCAUUAA